CCUACGGGAGGCAGCAGUGGGGAAUAUUGGGCAAUGGGCGCAAGCCUGACCCAGCAACGCCGCGUGAAGGAAGAAGGCUUUCGGGUUGUAAACUUCUUUUGUCAGGGACGAAGCAAGUGACGGUACCUGACGAAUAAGCCACGGCUAACUACGUGCCAGCAGCCGCGGUAAUACGUAGGUGGCAAGCGUUAUCCGGAUUUAUUGGGUGUAAAGGGCGUGUAGGCGGUAUGUCAAGUCAAGGGUGAAAUCCCCGGGCUCAACGUGGGAACUGCCUUUGAAACUGGCAAACUGGAGUGUGUGAGAGGAUAGUGGAAUUCCAGGUGUAGGAGGGAAAUCCGUAGAUAUCUGGAGGAACAUCAGUGGCGAAGGCGACUAUCUGGCACAUAACUGACGCUGAGGAGCGAAAGCGUGGGUAGCAAACAGGAUUAGAUACCCUUGUAGUC
rnacentral:rRNA from 1 species